AACGCUGGCGGCGCGCUUAACACAUGCAAGUCGAGCGAGAACCGGGGCUUCGGCCCCGGGGACAGCGGCGAACGGGUGAGUAACACGUGGGUAAUCUGCCCUCGGUUCUGGGAUAGCCCGGGGAAACCCGGAUUAAUACCGGAUAGCCUCUCUGGCCUUUGGGCCGGCGAGAAAAGGUAGCUUCGGCCUCCGACCGAGGACGAGCCCGCGGCGGAUUAGCUUGUUGGUGGGGUAGCGGCUCACCAAGGCGACGAUCCGUAGCUGGUCUGGGAGGACGAUCAGCCACACUGGAACUGAGACACGGCCCAGACUCCUACGGGAGGCAGCAGUGGGGAAUCUUGCGCAAUGGGCGAAAGCCUGACGCAGCGACGCCGCGUGAGGGAAGAAGGCCUUCGGGUUGUAAACCUCUUUCAGGUGGGACGAAGCCACUCGGGUGAAUAGCCCAGAGGGUGACGGUACCUCCAGAAGAAGCCCCGGCUAACUACGUGCCAGCCGCCGCCGUAA
rnacentral:rRNA from 1 species